rnacentral:rRNA from 1 species
UACGUAGGAGGCGAGCGUUGUCCGGAUUUACUGGGCGUAAAGAGCGCGCAGGCGGUCGUUCAAGUCGAGUGUGAAAGCCCCCGGCUCAACUGGGGAGGGUCACUCGAUACUGAUCGACUUGAAGGCAGGAGAGGGAUGUGGAAUUCCAGGUGUAGCGGUGAAAUGCGUAGAUAUCUGGAGGAACACCGGUGGCGAAGGCGGCAUCCUGGACCGAGAUUGACGCUGAGGCGCGAAAGCUAGGGGAGCAAACGGG